UAUGGCCAUAUCACAUUGAAAUACCUAUUCGUACGAUCACCGAAGUGAAGCAACGUCAAGUCUGGUCAGUACCUAGAUGGGUGACCGCUUAGGAAUGCCAAGUACUGUAAG